ACAAAGCCGGGGGGGCACGUGACGUCACGGCAGGGCUUGCCGUGGCGUCACGCAGUGACGUCAUUUUCCGUAUUCCCUCCCCAGGAGCGCGGCGUGGCCGUACCGGGGAGGAGGCAGGGCCCAGGGGCGGACGGAUAGGUAUUGGGGAGGGGUCGCUCCGGUGACGUCGGGCUCCCGUGACGUCAUGCAACCGCCGGCGCGGCCCCGCUUCUCCGCGGUUGUGACGCAGACCCGGUUCCCCCCCUCCCCGGGACCCGCAGUGCUCCCUCUGGCCCUCCAGGGGGCGUCCGCCGCCAUCGGCAGCUCGGCGCUCGCUCCGCUUUGCCUGGCGGCGCAGCGGCGGGCCGGGGGCGAGGCCGGGGCCGGGCAGGACGCGCAGCCGAGCGCCGAUGGCGGCGGCGGCGGCGCGAUGAGCCUGGCGGAGGGCCGCGCUCCGCGGCGCACGGCCGGGAACCGGCUCUCGGGGCUGCUGGAGGCCGAGGAGGAGGAUGAGUUCUACCAGACCACCUACGGCGGCUUCACCGAGGAGUCGGGCGAUGACGAGUACCGGGGCGACCAGUCGGACAGCGACGACGAGGUGGACUCGGACUUCGACAUCGACGAGGGCGAGGAACCCGCCAGCGACCAGGACGAGAGCGAGCCCAAGCGCCGCCGCCGCGUUGUCACCAAGGCUUACCGGGAGCCACUCAAGAGCCUGCGCCCCAAGAAGACGGAUGUCCCCACCGGCGGCUCCCAGAAGCCGCGAGAGGUGAAAUCCAUCCCCUUGGAGCUCCAGGAUGACGUGGGAGACAGCCGGAAGCACAUGCGGCAGUCGACGACGGAGCACACGCGACAAACCUUCCUGCGCAUCCAAGAGCGGCAGGUCCAGUCCAAGCGUAAGAAGGGCGGCCCCAACUACGACCGGCCUCUGACGCAGGAGGAGCUGCUGGAGGAGGCCAAGAUCACGGAGGAGAUCAACCUGCGCUCCCUGGAGAAUUACGAGCGCCUGGAAGCCGACAAGAAGAAGCAAGUCCAGAAGAAGCGGAAGUGCGUGGGGCCCGUUAUCCGGUACUGGUCCGUCACCAUGCCCCUCGUCCCAGAGCCGGGCAAGGAGGAGAACGUGGAUGUGGAGGGGUUGGACCAAGACCCACAGCAGGCCGAAGCAGCUCCAGCCCCAGCUCCGGCUUCCGCUGGGAAGUGCUCCCGUACCUUCAUCUCCUUCAGCGACGACGAAACCUUCGAGCGUUUCUUCCCCAAAGCGAAACAGCCGCGGCUGCCGGUGCGGGAGAUCUGCCCCGUCACCCACAAACCGGCUGUUUACCGCGACCCCAUCACCGACAUCCCCUACUCCAACAUCCGCGCCUUCAAAAUCAUCCGGGAGGCCUACAAGAAAUACAUCACGGCGCACGGCCUGCCCAGCGCCGCCGCCUCCGCCGCCCUGGGGGCCGCCGCUCCCCCCGGCCCCGACCCCAACGUCCGUCCCACCCGCCAGAAGAUCAUCAUCAAGCAAAGCGUCCCCACAACCUGAGCGCCGGGGGUCCCCGGGGGCUUGUGGCCACUGCGGGUCGAGGCCUCUCCUCGCUCCGACUCCCGCUGCCCCCCGGUCCCCCGCCAUGACGUCCUACCGGCAGGAGCUGGAGAAGUACCGGGACAUCGACGAAGACAAGAUCCUGCGGGAGCUGUCGGCCGAGGAGCUGGAGCAGCUGGACAUGGAGCUGCUGGAGAUGGACCCC